rnacentral:rRNA from 1 species
GACGAACGCUGGCGGCGUGCUUAACACAUGCAAGUCGAACGGAAAGGCCCUGCUUUUGUGGGGUGCUCUAGUGGCGAACGGGUGAGUAACACGUGAGUAACCUGCCCUUGACUUUGGGAUAACUUCAGGAAACUGGGGCUAAUACCGGAUAGGAGCUCCUGCUGCAUGGUGGGGGUUGGAAAGUUUCGGCGGUUGGGGAUGGACUCGCGCCUUAUCAGCUUGUUGGUGGGGUAGUGGCUUACCAAGGCUUUGACGGGUAGCAGGCCUGGGAGGGUGACCGGCGACAUUGGGACUGAGAUACGGCCCAGACUCGUACGGGAGGCAGCAGUGGGGAAUAUUGCACAAUGGGCGGAAGCCUGAUGCAGCAACGCAGCGUGGGGGAUGACGGCAUGCGGGUUGUAAACUGCUUUCGCCUGUGACGAAGCGUGAGUGACGGUAAUGGGUAAAGAAGCACCGGCUAACUACGUG